UUUUUUCUCAUUUUUUGUGCUGCAAAGACAUUGCAGGUGAAUAUUAGAGGGGAUUAUUAAUUGCAGGUGAAUAUUAGAGGGGAUUAUUAAACGGAAAUUGAUUAGAGGUGAAUAUUGAAUAUAUUCCCCGAUAAGAACAAAGGAAACCGAGCAGGGUGAAAAAUAAGCUAUCAUAUUACAACUGAAACAAAAUUAAUCAAUGUUACAACUUAUUCUUUGAAAAGUAUUAAUAAAACAGACGGAAAAUACCUGAUUCUUUCUGUGGUAUAAUCUGCUUCUUUUAUCGGACGGCGAAAAACAGCAAAACUUUGCCUCGCACGCCGCAAAAAAACAAUGAAAUUUGAAGUAAGACUAAAUCUAUGAACAAGUUUAAUAAAGAUUUACAUAGUCAAAACAAAAAUAUUGAAAAAAAAUGAAGAGAUUACCAUAAAAACGCGUCUCAAACACUGAAAUUCAUUUUUCGCCAUAUAAAAAUAUAGCAGAAUGAUUUGUUU